rnacentral:rRNA from 1 species
GAUGAACGCUGGCGGCGUGCCUAAUACAUGCAAGUCGAGCGAACAGAUAAGGAGCUUGCUCCUUUGACGUUAGCGGCGGACGGGUGAGUAACACGUGGAUAACCUACCUAUAAGACUGGGAUAACUUCGGGAAACCGGAGCUAAUACCGGAUAACAUAUUGAACCGCAUGGUUCAAUAGUGAAAGGCGGCUUUGCUGUCACUUAUAGAUGGAUCCGCGCCGUAUUAGCUAGUUGGUAAGGUAACGGCUUACCAAGGCAACGAUACGUAGCCGACCUGAGAGGGUGAUCGGCCACACUGGAACUGAGACACGGUCCAGAAUCCUACGGGAGGCAGCAGUAGGGAAUCUUCCGCAAUGGGCGAAAGCCUGACGGAGCAACGCCGCGUGAGUGAUGAAGGUCUUCGGAUCGUAAAACUCUGUUAUCAGGGAAGAACAAAUGUGUAAGUAACUGUGCACAUCUUGACGGUACCUGAUCAGAAAGCCACGGCUAACUACGUG